AUCACUCUUGGCACAUGGUUCCUGCGUAGCUUCCAGAUCCCCAAGAGCUUUAUUUUUUUAAGGAGACACGUUUUAUUUUCUUUUGAAAAUAUACAAGUGUUAUUCUCAUUGGACCCAAGACAUUCACAGCUGUGAUAACCAUUAAAUUCUUGCUUUGCGUUGCAGACAACACCUCUGUGGUGAUUAUCUCUCACUCUCACAGUGCAUCUAUAUCCUGAACUUGAAUUGAAUAUCCGUGGUGAGCUACGCCACUUCCUCAUCCUCCUCAAAGUCAUUUGUUUAAACACUAGUUGUUUUUGUUGUUGUUGUUCUUGCUGAUGUGAUGCUGUUGUUAUGGUUGAUGUGAGGGCAGCCCUGUGAGGACAAAUAUAGAGUCGCUCCCAUGUGCGCAGCUAGAUGAAUCCACAUGCACUCUGCGUCUUUUUUUUUCUUUGAUAAUCAUGUCAGGGAUUAUAACUGUGACCCAGAAAACCAUGAUUUGGUUGAGUUCAUGAUUGUUGCAAUGUCUAAAGCAUAUAACAGUGGCUCUGCGGGUAAUUGUGGUGAUAUUUUAAUCACUCACCACACUAACACUUGAUGAUAUAACUGCUUUUUUGCGUGCUGACGAGACAGACGAUUCCCAUCCCACGAGUGUUGAAAAUAAUCAUCCUGGGGGGGGGGGGAAUAAGCAAUGACAUGUUUGUGUCGCUGCCGUCGACCUCUAAGGACAGACAGCAGGCACGGAUGUAGGCUUAUAGUGGGUUGAACUUCAAGUGUGGGUUUUUUCCACUCUAUCUCUCUGUUCUUGUCAGCUCCGUCUCUCAUACUCUGCCUGGUGCUCUGCGAAAGAUAACACAGUUUCUGUCUGGAACAGAGUGCGUCGUCUGCGACUGUGCGACUGUGUGUGUGUGUGUCUCAAUGCGCCGGUGUAUGUGGAUUGGUGUUCUCUUUGGGAAAUCCUCCAAGCUACGAUAGAUAACAUCUAUAAACCAGCCGAACAAUGCAGUCGAGGCAAACCUGGAACCUCCUCUGAAGGAGUGGAGAAUGGGAGGGGACGAAAUACGCUGUAAGCGAAUAACAGACCUAGCGGAAAAGUACUGAGCGAGAAAGUGAGAGGGGGG
ensembl:lncRNA